AGUGAACGCUGGCGGUAGGCCUAACACAUGCAAGUCGAACGGCAGCACAGGAGAGCUUGCUCUCUGGGUGGCGAGUGGCGGACGGGCGAGGAAUACAUCGGAAUCUACUUUUUCGUGGGGGAUAACGUAGGGAAACUUACGCUAAUACCGCAUACGACCUACGGGUGAAAGCAGGGGACCUUCGGGCCUUGCGCGAUUGAAUGAGCCGAUGUCGGAUUAGCUAGUUGGCGGGGUAAAGGCCCACCAAGGCGACGAUCCGUAGCUGGCCUGAGAGGAUGAUCAGCCACAGUGGAACUGAGACACGGUCCAGACUCCUACGGGAGGCAACAGUGGGGAAUAUUGGACAAUGGGCGCAAGCCUGAUCCAGCCAUACCGCGUGGGUGAAGAAGGCCUUCGGGUUGUAAAGCCCUUUUGUUGGGAAAGAAAUCCAGCUGGCUAAUACCCGGUUGGGAUGACGGUACCCAAAGAAUAAGCACCGGCUAACUUCGUGCCAGCCGCCGCGGUAA
rnacentral:rRNA from 1 species